UACGACGGGGGCUAGCGUUGCUCGGAAUCACUGGGCGUAAAGCGCACGUAGGCGGCUUUUUAAGUCAGAGGUGAAAUCCUGGAGCUCAACUCCAGAACUGCCUUUGAUACUGGAGAGCUUGAGUCCGGGAGAGGUGAGUGGAACUGCGAGUGUAGAGGUGAAAUUCGUAGAUAUUCGCAAGAACACCAGUGGCGAAGGCGGCUCACUGGCCCGGUACUGACGCUGAGGUGCGAAAGCGUGGGGAGCGAACAGG
rnacentral:rRNA from 1 species